rnacentral:rRNA from 1 species
CAAUAGCGUAUAUUAAAGUUGUUGCAGUUAAAAAGCUCGUAGUUGAAAGUAUGCCAUUGGCAAUUCGAAAAUCUACGCAGGGGUAUUAAUUUACACUUGCGCAAGAAUCGACGUUUACUGUGAACAAAUUAGGGUGUUCAAAGCAAGUUAAGGCUUGAAUACAACAGCAUGGAAUAAUAAGAUACGACUCUAUUAUAUUUUGUUGGUUUACAUGAGAGAGUAAUGAUAAAUAGGAACUGAUGUGGGUAUUCGUAUGAGAAUGUCAGAGGUGAAAUUCUUGGAUUUUUCUCAGACGAACAACUGCGAAAGCAUUUACCAAGGAUGUUUUCAUUAA